rnacentral:rRNA from 1 species
CCUACGGGGGGCAGCAGUAGGGAAUCUUGCACAAUGGGCGAAAGCCUGAUGCAGCAACGCCGCGUGGGUGAAGAAGGUCUUCGGAUUGUAAAACCCUGUUGUUAGAGAAGAAAGUGCGUGAGAGUAACUGUUCACGUUUCGACGGUAUCUAACCAGAACGCCACGGCUAACUACGUCCAACCAGCCGCGGUAAUACGUAGGUGUCAAGCGUUUUCCGGAUUUAUUGGGCGUAAAGGGAACGCAGGCGGUCUUUUAAGUCUGAUGUGAAAGCCUUCGGCUUAACCGGAGAAGUGCAUUGGAAACUGGGAGACUUGAGUGCAGAAGAGGAGAGUGGAACUCCAUGUGUAGCGGUGAAAUGCGUAGAUAUAUGGAAGAACACCAGUGGCGAAAGCGGCUCUCUGGUCUGUAACUGACGCUGAGGUUCGAAAGCGUGGGUAGCAAACAGGAUUAGAUACCCUGGUAGUC